rnacentral:rRNA from 1 species
UUGGAGGGCAAGUCUGGUGCCAGCAGCCGCGGUAAUUCCAGCUCCAAUAGCGUAUAUUAAAGUUGUUGCAGUUAAAAAGCUCGUAGUUGAAUUUCGGGAUCAAUAUAUCGGUCGUGCCUUGGUACGUACUGGUAUCAUUGGUUUCUCCUUUCUGACGAACCAUGAUGUCAUUAAUUUGGUGUUAUGGGAAGUUAGGACUGUUACUUUGAAAAAAUUAGAGUGUUUAAAGCAGGCUUUAGCUUGAAUACAUUAGCAUGGAAUAAUGAAAUAGGACGUUCGAACCUAUUUUGUUGGUUUCUAGGAUCAACGUAAUGAUUAAUAGGGAUAGUUGGGGGCAUUAGUAUUCAAUUGCCAGAGGUGAAAUUCUUGGAUUUAUUGAAGACUAACUACUGCGAAAGCAUUUGCCAAGGAUGUUUUCAUUAAUCAAGAACGAAAGUUAGGGGAUCGAAGACGAUCAGAUACCGUCGUAGUCUUAACCAUAAACUAUGCCGACUAGGGAUCGGAUGAUGUUAAUUUUUUAAUGACUCAUUCGGCGCCUUACGGGAAAC